rnacentral:rRNA from 1 species
GAGGUAGCAGUGGGGAAUAUUGCACAAUGGGCGCAAGCCUGAUGCAGCCAUGCCGCGUGUAUGAAGAAGGCCUUCGGGUUGUAAAGUACUUUCAGUCGUGAGGAAGGUGUUAAGGUUAAUAACCUUAGCAAUUGACGUUAGCGACAGAAGAAGCACCGGCUAACUCCGUGCCAGCAGCCGCGGUAAUACGGAGGGUGCGAGCGUUAAUCGGAAUUACUGGGCGUAAAGGGCACGCAGGCGGUUAAUUAAGUUGGAUGUGAAAUCCCCGGGCUUAACCUGGGAAUGGCAUUCAAGACUGGUUAGCUAGAGUCUUGUAGAGGGGGUAGAAUUCCAUGUGUAGCGGUGAAAUGCGUAGAGAUGUGGAGGAAUACCGGUGGCGAAGGCGGCCCCUGGACAAAGACUGACGCUCAUGUGCGAAAGCGUGGGGAGCAAACAGGGAUUAGAUACC